AACAGAGAGAGAAGAAAAAAAAGAAAAAAAUUUGAAGUCUUAGAGAUCCAUUUUCUUCUCUUCCAGUAGGCGGAGCUAUGCCCUCCGAGCCAAGCUUCUGCCAUCUACGUGCCGAUAGCAAUCCCUGUAAGGCAGCUCCUGGGAGUCUCUCAAUCUUGUCAGUCCAGAGCCGUUUCACUUCUCCAGCCCCUCCCCACUUGCUCCUGUCAGCCGGCCAGCCAGGUCCUGUUCACUGGAAGUGGUUCCCCAAAGAUCUGGUUACACUUGCAGCCCCACCGCGCGUCCCAUUUAAGCCCCAGUGCUGUGGUAAACUGGCGGCUAAGAACUUGGGAGUCGCCGCUGGUGAUAUGGGGAAUUGGGGGUCGGGAAUCCCCUCUGCUUCCCUACAGACAUGCCCCCGGAGAGAUCCCUGAGGUUUCCUGGCUGCUUGUAUCUGGAUGGGGUGGGAGUCACACACCUGCUAAAGUGGAUUCCGCUGGGAAGGAAUUCCCUCGGCCGAACUCCGGUGACGUCACCUCUGUGCUAUGGCGGGUCCCAGGCUCCUUACCGGAGUGUCCGAAGGGAGGGGUGGGACUGGUCCGUCCCUGGUUGGCCUCAGCUCCCGGCUCGCUAUUUCAUGAAGGCUUGGCUAAAGACCUCUUCCUGCCAAGCUGCGUCUUGGAGGGUAGCCACCCAGUCACAGUGGCUACAGGAGGGUGGCCACGCCACGGUGCGUGGACAGCGGCUGGCGGGUCUGAACCUCUGGGUCUCGUGGCGGGGAUUCACUCGUCUGGGGCAAACUGUCAAUCUUUCUUCAGUGGAAUUUUGCUAGGAGAUUCUCCGCAGGUAGAAUUUAAGCGUAUCUAUGCGUCUCUCUGACCCCAUCACUGAGGAGGUACUGAAAGCGCUGCCUCUCCGCCUGCUGCCAUGUUGGAUCCUCACAAGAACAUUUGUGAUACCCCAUUAUAUUUAAUUGUUGUUUCUCUUUAACCUUCCCUUGAUUGUUACAGUAUUUUAGAAUUCGACAUCCUUAUUUUUUAUAAUUUGAAGGCCCUUCCUGUUAGUAAUCCAUCUGCCUCACGUGAUAUGUGCAUUCUUAAAGAGGCAUGUGAAGUUGAGCCACAGAUGAUAUCCUACUAAUUUACAUUUUAAUUUUAGACUUGCUAGUCUAAUGGGAAAAUUUUUUUUUAAACCUGACAAUUAUAAUAUCUGUCUAUCUCUCAAGCACUUAGUGAUGCCAGGCAUGGUGCUAAGUACUUUACCUAAUCUCACUUAAUUCUCACAACAGUCUCUGCAAAGCAUAUAUAUUAUUAUCCCCGUUUUCCAGGUUCAGAAAUGGAGAUUUGGAAAAGAGUGAGUAAUUCACUCAGGGUUGCACAACUACUAAGUAGCAGAGCCAGGAUUUGAAUUGAGAUCUGUCUCAUUUUGGCAGAUCUGUGUCUUCAAGCAUAAGGAAAGUCUCAGUGGAGAAAUUAUUUGUUACAUAUUGGAAGGAAAGUGGUUUGUAACAAAAAUAAAAGCAACCAGGCAUGAUGGUGCAUACUUGUAAUCCUAGCUACUCAGGAACUAAGGAGGUUCACAAAUUCUAUGCUAACCCCGGGCAACUUGGUAAGACCCUGACUCAAAAAGAAAAAAAAAAAAGGAAUCAAGGGGAGUAGCUCAGUAGGGGAGCGCUUGCCUAGCAUGUGCUAGCCCUGUCUUCAAUCCCCAGUACUGCAAAAUGAAUGAAGGGAUGAAUGGAUGAAUGCAGUCCAUAUUACUGUAUCACAUCACGUCAAAAUUUCUGUUACCAGAGAGACAGUGGGGAAAGAGAGACAGCCAGUGCUGUAUUUUAUUCCUUGGUUUCUCUGUUAUAUCACUGCCAGAUGUAUGGUUGCAUUGUCUUCUAAAAAGAGGGGGAAAAAACAUGGAAUAGAUCAGAGAACAUAGAGAAUGUAUUGAUCCUUUUUUUUCUUUCUUCAGUUUUAGAAUCUAGCAAAGUUAGAAGUGAAAUCUGUCUAGGAUCAAAAAAUGUUAAAAGAAGUAGAUAACUAGUGGCUUCUCUAUUACUAAUGGCCUCUAUUAGUAGCAAUGUAAGAUGGAAGCAGUCAUCAAUGAGUGCUACAGAGUACCACAAGCACAUCUACACACUCAGCCUCUCCAUGUAUGCUGAUGUUGACACACGGCAGGUACGCCCCCAGUGACAGGGUAUUCCUGGCAGGUAGAUCAGUGGUGAUCUCCGCAGCUCAGGCACUUUGCAGAGGACUUUGGAGUUGCCCAAUAUUAACCACUACCACAUGCCUCGGUGCUUUCGACAAGGCUGCUUCAGAUCCUCCCUUUCCCCCUUUUUAUUCUACUUGGCAAGUUCCAAAACCAGAUGCUGCUUUUAUGGAAAAGUCUAAUUGCUGUGGAAUCUAAUGUAUGUCCUACUUCCUUAUCCAAAUCUCCUCCUUCCUGUUCUGCUGACAGCCUUCCUGUGACUCAUCUCCAGAUUAUGGGUAGUAAAGAACCACACCUCUCCCGGGUCUUGCCUGCACACACCACUUAGCGUCUUGGCCUCUGGAAGAAGACAUUCGUGAAUUAUGUUAAUCAUGAGUUGUUAAUAGAGACCUGCCUUAGAAACACAGAACAAUAAAUGACAAAUUAGGUUUUCUUUCAGCCCCAUGUGCUUGUCCCCCAUAUCCCACAGCCUAAACAAUUUUUGUUAAGUCAUGUGGCAUGCGGCAUGCCUGGAAGAUUCAGCAUACAGUAGCCUGUGCCAGGUUCAUUUGUCAGUUCUAACAUCUUAAAUUGGUUUUGAAUCAUUAAAAAGAGACAAAAAGAAGCAAAACUUAGGUGCUUAACAGGCAGUGACGAAUGAACCAAAUGGUGACAAGAUGUGGGAACUGAGCUUUCUGCACUUUUGACUGGUAGAUACUUGUGAAUGAAUUCCUAGUGUUCAUUCAAUUUGAUGUAACCAUGAAAAAAUAAUGCCUAUAAAAUCCACAUGCCAAAUAACUCUGAGGCAGACACCUCCCUUGUUCACAUUUCCCACUAUAACAGGAUGCCUUUUCUGUUCAGAGGAUGAGAAAACAUAUCCUGCUAACAUGCCUGUCUCACACACAGGCAGCCUCGUGACACAGGUCAGGCUGUUGAUAUUAACAAAAGUCUUCUGGGUAUUUAUGUGGAAGCUCUUGUGCUCCUGAUCUGAGCAGUGUUCCUUCCAGAUGAUGACAAGCCUAGAGCUGUAGCAGCCAUCUUACAGUCAUGAGGCAAUGAGUGUGAGCAUUGUAGCUUACUGCUAAAGAUGGCAGAGAAAGAUGGUAGGGACUGUGUCCAGAAUGGCCCACUGCCUCCUUUGCUAGCCCCAGACUUCUUUAUCACUUUGACUAAACAUCCCAUUUGUUUAAGUCAGUGUUAAUGUGGUUCUUUGUAACUUGAAGCCAAAGGCAAUAUGACCUUAGCUUCUGCUUCUAAAUCCCCAAAUUAAAGUUGUAUUCUUAAGUUUAGAGAAAAGCCAAGUGACUAUCUUACACUACUUUGGGUUCUGGAUUUUGAGGCUCUUCAAUAGCCUGUUGUAUUUCUUACAGUCAACACUGAUGUGAUUAAAUGUAAGCAAAUGAAACAACAAACACAUAUGUAAUUAUACAUGAACAGUUACUGGAUCUCAGAAUAAAGGUCAACUAUUGCAUCAAUGGAGUUAUAUUACAUCAAUGGAAUUAUACCUUUUCAAUUGGCCAAAAUUGAGUCUUACAGUACCAAGUAUCUGCAAGAUCAUGGAGAAAUGGAAUCUCUCAUACUGCUGGUGAGUGGGUGAGCUGGUGCAGCAACUUUGGAGAUGAGUGCACAUGUGCACCAGUGGUAAGCAGAAGAACAUUUGCUGUAACACUCUUUUAUAAAAGUUAAAACCUAGAGACAGCCUAGGUGUCCAGUAGGGGAAUAGAUGAAAACACUGCAGUGCAGGCUAAAGGCCCUCAAACAGAACACAAGCAAAACCCUGAUGUGCACAUUGACAUGGGGAGAUUUAAUGGUACCCUUGAGCCAGCACAUGAGAGGCAAAUGCUAAAAUCACAGGAGUUUGGCAAACUGGUUGAUAUCACAUCUGUAGCUGUGACAAGUACUUACAAUAUGGAAAUUGGCAAAGGCGAUAGAUAAUUCCUUUUCUGUCCACAAGAGAUGGUGGUUAAAUAUUUCCCUGCACAUCACAUGGAUAGAUUUCAAAAAACAAUAUCUAUUUUUAAAGGCAAGUCUUAGAAGAGAAGGAAAUAGGGAGUUGUUGAAUUGGUAUCAAGUUUCAGCUAUGCAAGAUGAAUUCGAGUUCUGGAGAUCCGUCUAGCACAGCAUAGUCAACAGUACUCUAUUCAAAAAUCUGUAAAGAAGGUAGAUCUCAUGUAGAGUUCUACAUAAUAAAGGGACACAAGGAAAUUUUGGAAGUGAUGAAUAUAUUUUAUUUUUGGGUACUCAGGAUUUAACCCAAGGACGCUUAACCACUAAGCUACGUCCCCUUUUUAUUUUUUAUUUUGAGAUGGGGUCUCACAGAAUUUCUUAGCGCCUUGCUAAGUUGCUCAGACUGGUCUUGAACUUGAAAUCCUCCUGCCUCAAGCUCCUGAGUCACUGGGAUUAUAGGUGUCUGCCACUGCAACCUGGCUGUGGAUAUGGUUUUUAAUCUGAAUUGUGGUCAUGGCCUCACAGGUGGGGCAUAGGCCCGGUUUCAUCAAAUUGUAUCCAUUGCAUAUACACCUCCAAAAAGCUAUUUUUAAAAGUAAGCUGCAGAAUAAACAACAGUACGAUGGCAUAUGCUUAAAGUUUUAAAAACAUGAAGAAAUGUUAUCUAUUGGAAAAAUAUUAGUGAAUACUAAUAAAACAUGGUCUAAAAGGAUAGAUGCUAAAAUUGUGAUAAUCAUUAUCUCUGCAGAAAGCACUGUGAUUGGGAUGGUGAAAGGAAGAAGGUGGCUAGAACACUUUGUUACUUUAUUUUAUUUAUUUUUGUUUUUUAUUUUAUUUUAAAAUAUCUGGAGCCAAGAAAAAGUGUUAACACUGGUUGGGUGAGUUACUUGAUGGUGCAGAGAUGGCUGCUGGAAUGCAAGCGAUCACUUCACAUCACAGGAAUGCAGCAGGAAGAGGGAAAGGACACAAAUGCCUUCCUCCCAGUUCUCUUUUAGGUUUUCAUGAAUGGUACUGGGUUUUGCAAGAGGAUCUCACAGCUGAAUGCAGAGAAAAACGGAGAGGGAGCAUUCAUCCAGAAGCCUCACCAUCUACACUACAGUGUGCUGACAACCAGGAAAUUCCAAGAGGAUGAACAAUUACAGUUAUAAUUUUCAACUGUCUUUGUUAUGAGCAUCCUGCCUUUGCCUUUCUGUCCUGCCUAAUCUUGUUUUACCCUGUACAUUUACUGCCUCACUUCCUUCUUCAGAAAUGGCAAGUUUUCUUUCUGCUCUGUUAAGUAUGUAAAUAUCUUUAAUGCAGAGAGAUGAGGGAGGAUAAGUGAGCUACCGAUGUAGAGGGUUUGUCCAGGAGAAAUGCAAAGAUGGGAGACAGGAAAAAAAUCAGGCAGGUCUGGGGAAUGUGGAAGCCUAUGAAGUGUCCGUUGGGCAGGGCAUGGGGAGGAGUAGCAACGAUGAGAAAUGACCUUCACUUUCUCCUGGGACCAGGGACACAUUUGUGAUGGAAGAUAGCUGUGUCACUUAUGGGAUCAAGUGCUAAAUAAAGCUAAUAGAACUACAUAGAUUGCACUCAAGAUAUGACUUCUUGUCCCCUCGCUCUAAAAGUUACUGUACAAAUAUUUUCUUUUCCUAAUGUGCCUAUGAAUUUCUAAUUUUGAAGAGGACUUCUAUAAAAGGGGGAGAAUGUGAAGACGAGCGAGGGCCAACAGUUGUCCCUGAAGAAGAUUCAGGUGCCUGGGGAGAGCCAAGGAAGGGCUGGUCUUUGCCAGGUGAGACAGCCCAAGGGCAGAUACCAAAAUGACUUGAAGUCUUGCUCCCCAUGACGCUAAACAGCACUGUCCAUUAGACUUUCCCAUUCACACCAACCAGUUUGGUGACUCCGACUAUAUGUGGCUAAUGAGCACUUGAAAUGUUACAGCAACUGAGCAAGUUUGACCACUGAGCUAUGGAACAAAUGACUGUUCAGUCUUAUUUUUAAUUAAAAUUCAGUUAUUUAGCCAUGGCUGUUGGUGCCAUUUUGAUCAGCACAGCCACCAGACUUCAUGACAUAUUGACCAACAAGUCCCCCAGGGUAGUUUGGAGAAGGAGCACUGCAAACAGAUGAGCUCGUGAUCCUCUUGCCACUGUGUGCUCCUCACCUGCAGUGCUGAAGAGGUGGGAGUGAGAAUCGAACCCUGGCCGAGGAGCUGGGCCAGGGCAAAUGGUGAAUCAGCGCAUCCUGUGCAGGAAACACUACCAAUCGUAUUCGCCAAGCGUGCUCUCACAAAUCCCUGACUGGGAGUUGCUUGGAACUCCAGAAGAAAAUCAAAACACCCCACUUUGACUUUUCUGGAAGGUGGGAUUCUUUUGUGUUUACUUCAAUUUUUGCAAGAUUUAAAAGAAAAUCCCUCCAACUGUUAAAGAGCUUUAGAAAUAGGAAAAAUUAACAUUCGUCAUGCUCAUCUUCUGAGAAUUUUUUAUUCAAGUAAUUAGAAGUGAGCUGAACCUCAAAAGUCCAAAUACUUCAUUUGAUAGAUUGAACAAGCAUGUUUGUCAUUUGGUCCCCAGCUCACGUGUGUACCUUCAGCCCCAUUCAUGCAUGCAAGGAGGGAAAUGUGCUUUGCUGAGCUAAGCCACAGGCUCAGAAGCUCUGAGGCAAAACCCUGCCUCCUCUCCUUAAUGACAGGAGGGACACCACUGGGCCUCCACAGGCCUCGCCAGGAUCAUGUAGACAGCUGGGGGAGAGGCUUUCUUGGGAUUUCUUUGAGGAAGAGGAUCAGAGCUAUUAGAAAGCAUUUUAACAAAGGAAAAGUACCUCCAAAGUCGAUCAUAAUGAGUUACAUAUUUGAUUUCCCCUGUUUUCGAGGGAGAAAAACUCUUUACUAGAUAAUCUCAAGGUAACAAAAGUGCCAUUAGGUUUUACAUGUCUGUUUUUAAGAGAAUUAUUACAAAUUGAAAGGGAAGUGAGUGGCUGCCACAGACACUGUGACCCAUUUUCAAAUAAUGAUUGUGACUUGAGUCAUUUCUGAGAAACAAGUUAACAGAUUCUUCCAUUUUGACCACCGGGUUAUAUUGCUCAAGUCCAUUUGCUUGUGCCCAUUGGAAGACUCCACUGCACAUUAUUUUGGAGAUGGUCAUCCUGAGUCAGACUUGAGUAAUCGUGGCUAAGAAGUUUGGUUUCCCUUUUGUUUAUUUUUCACUCAACGUUCUGUGUCUACCCCAUUUUUUUCUUUUCUCCGCUGAGCCACUUAAGCACAUGAAUAAUAUUCUUAAAGAACAAAAAGGAAAUUUCCAUAUUGUGAAGGAACUCCACUCAGAAUAGAGUGCCACAUAAUUUAUUAUCCAAACUGAAUGUAAUGGUUUGGAUGUGAGGUGUCCCCCAAAGAGCUCCUCUGUGGAUGCAGGCGUGUUUAGAGGUCAAGUGAUUGGACUGUGAGAGCUUUCACCUAGUCAGCCCAUCCUAGUUUGAAUAGACUGGGUGGUGACUGUAGGCAGGUGGGGCAUGGCUAGAUGAUGUGGGUCACUGGGGCUGUGCCCUGGAAGGGUACAGCUUCCCUGCACACCUUCUCUUGAUCCUGCCAUGAGCUGAAAAGCUUUACUCUGCUGGACUCUGCUCAUCAUGAUGUGCCACCUCUCCUUGGGCCUAAAGCAGUGAAGUUGGCCAUCUCUGGACUGCCAACUCCUAAAACCAUAAACCUCAAAUAAACUUUGCCUCCUCUAAGUUGUUCUUGUUCAGUAUUUUGGUCACAGCAAUGAAAAGCUAACUAAAACACUGAGACAUGUCAGAGAAUGAAAGGAGGUGAUCAUUUUAGUAAUUAUACUGGGGCAACAAGAAUAAACUAAUCACCCUAAAUAAAGACAUUUUUUUUAAAUAUGUAAAGAUGAUCAGUCUUAUUGGUUACAAAGCAAAUGGGGCCAUCAUAUGCCCACCAAAUGGGUAAAAAUUUAAAAAUACAACAAUGUCAAUGUUAGAGACUUGGAGCAAUUGGAACUCAUUUCAUGCUGUUGUAAGUACAUUUUACAACCACUUUUGAAAACAAUUUUACAUCAUCUAGUAAAGAUGAACGUGAAGAAAUUAUUACCCUAUGAUUCAGUAACUUUACAACUGGAAUACUCAAAAAACUUCUUUAUGAAAACCUAAAACUAUAAUACAUUGAAAUGGGCACCUUUAAAUAAUAGCUACAUUCAUCAAUAUCAAUAAGUCAAACAUUUAAUUUAUUGAUAGAAGCAAGUCAAAAUACACAGCCAUGUACCUGAGUACAAAGGAACUAAACAAGACGCACACUUGGGUGGUGAGACGAUAAAUAAAAGCAUGGGUGUCUGUGUUGGUCAGCUUUCCAUUGCUGUAAUAAAUACCUGAGAUAAUCAGCUUGGAAAAGGUGUUUUUUGGCUCAUAGUUUUGGAGGCCUUGGUCCCUGGAUGGUUGGGCCCCGUUGCUUUUGGACCUGUGGAGAGUCGAUGCGUCAUGACGGGAGCAGGUGGAAGAGCAGAGCUGUUCACGCCGGGGCUGGGAACAAAAGGACCAGGAUGGCCUUUGAGGGCACACCCCCAAUGACCUAAAGGCCUCUUGUAGGCCCCACCUCUUAAAAUUUCUGUUGCCUCCCACACUGAGGACCAAGACUUUACCACGGGGACUUUGGGGAACACAUGAGGUCCAAACUACAGCAGCAGGAUUAAUUCUAAAGUUAGGACGGUGGUGGCUCCUGGGGGAGGGAAGACCACAGUAAAGACGCCUUCUAAGGUCUGGAAAUGAUUUCUUAACCCCAGUGUUGGAUAUGGAUUUAUUUAUCCCUCAGAGUGGAAAAACACUGUGUUAAGUUAAAUGAGGAAAAGGACGGCCAUUAGAGCUGCCACCCUCUGGGCUCUUUCUGCCUCUGUGCUUGAGCAAGGCCUUGUAACCAGUUCUGGCUGAAGACAUCUGAGAAUAAUGAUGUGUAUCAUUUCCAGGCCAAGAACUUGUUGCCAUUGCUGGGCCCAUCAGAGCCUUCUUUUCCUCAGGCGUGGUGAUUGUCAUUGCUCCAGAUUGGCAGCUGCUCCACCACCCUGGAGUGAGGACAGCAUGGAUUGGGGUCCUCUGCCAACCUGCAAUAUAUAGAAAGAGCAAGAAAUAAGCCUUCAUUGUGUUAAGCUACUCCAGAUUGUUAGGAUGCCAUAAACCAGCCUUUCCUGAUGACCUAGAGAAUGACAGUGGUGGGUUCUUAUCUUAAUGCCAUAAAAGUUGAUCAUGGAAAGAGUGGAAGAAAGAAUAUGUCUUUUUUCCACAUUUUUGUACCUAUUGGUGGGAUUUGUGGUUACAUAUUCAUAUAUGAUACAAUAUAACUAUAUAAUUUGUUCAGUAUCCACUUCCCAGAACUCCCCCACUCCCUCCCCAUUGGUUCCUUUCCUCUACUGAUCUUCCUGUGAUUUUUAGGACAUCCAUCCCCACCUUUCUUUUCCUUUUUCCUCUCUAGCCUCCACAUAUGAAAGAAAACAUACAAUCCUUAACCUUCUCAUUUUGGCUUAUGUGGCUUUACAUGAUGAUCUCCAGUUCCAUGUGUGAGAAAGAGCAUUUCUGACCCAGGAAACGUCCCAGUACAAGGGCCUUGAAGUGGGACUGAAUUUUGAGGAACAAGAAGAAUGCCAGAGGGGAAAGUGGCGAGGAGAGGAGAGAUCAGUAAGAAACGUGACCACAGAGGCUAGCAGAACUCAAGAAUUGUAGACCAUGGUCAAGAACUGAUGUCUAUCCAUAGGCAGCCACAGCUGGGCUUAGGUAGCAGGAUGACAUCAUACAGAUCUCAUUUUAAAGAGGGUAAUUCUUGCUGUUGGGGAAAGAUAUAGGCGGAGGGCAAGCACUGACCCACAUAGCCCACUUAGCCACCAUUGAGCUUCAGUGGUGUCAGGCAAAGCAGAAGUGGAAUUUUUAAAAAAAAAAAAUUAAUGGGCACAAUACCUUUUAUUUGUUUAUUUUUAUGUGAUGCUGAGGAUUGAACUCAGUGCUUCACACAUGCUAGGCAAGCUCUACCACUGAGCCACCACCCCAGCCCCAGAAGUGGAAUUUUUGAAAAUGUGGUUUUUUAGAUGGAUCUGACAGAACUUGCAAAGAUGGGAAAUGGAGAUUGAAGGAAGGAGAAGGCUCACAGUUGACCUUCAUGUUCUGGGUUGACAACUGUAUUUAAGAUGGGGCCAUUUAUUGAAAAGGGAACAAAUGAGAACAGAUUUGAAGACAGCAAGUGGAGGUUGGCUUUGGAUAUCUAUUGGCAUCCAUGUGUAUAUGUUCAAAGGAAAAAAAAACACUAAAUAGAAAAUGUCACCUCUCAGAGGAAUGAGCCAAAGAUGUCAAUGUUUGGAAGUUAGGAUUUAAAUGAUAUUUAAGUCAGGAAAUUAGAUUAGAUCAUCUCUAGAGAGGUUAUAAAUAGCAAAAAGAUGUAGCAAUGAGAAUAACCCAGCCAAAUAUAUGGACAUUGGAGCCAAGAGAAGCAAGUGUAUUUUGAUGCUUUUGAGAGGUUGAGUGAGACACGCGGUGGUGACAGUGUCAGGCACCCGUAGGCCACCAGUGACUUCCACAAGAGAAGCCGUGGUGCAGUUGUGCAAUGGAAAGCCAGACAGGGAGAGCUGAGGAAGGAAUGGAAAACAGAGUACAGAGAAUUUUCAUGUUAAGUGUCACUCUGAAGGGGAACAAGGUAGGCUGGAGGAACUCUGGGAAAAAAGCGAUUGUUUCUUUUAAGAUGGGAGAUGGGUCUGAUGGAGCCCCAGGAGUGAGGAGCAGAUCGAUGACACAGGAGAUUAGCACGUUCAUUCCCAGGAGAAGACAUGGGUCUGAUCCAAAGAUGAGAGAUUCUUCUUCCAAGGAUGGAAAACACAGGUCUGGGUUGGUUUUAUUGGUCAGAGUGUGCCUGGGCAUGUGGCAAUUUUCAUUGACUUAGAGACAAAAUAAAUGAAAUAGAAUUUGGUGGAAUUGAACAAAGGCUUGAAACUGCAUGUUGAAAGGAUUUCGUGAAACAUCAAAUUAAUGGAAACCAUUAGUCAAGCCUUAUACAAGUCUUGGUGAAUAGGGAAACUUAAGGAUAAAAAGGAAUCCUCUCAGCAUGUUAGUAGAAAAUAAAGUUUACAAAGGGAUGGUUAGGCUGCCCUUCUGGUCUACCAGGACGAAAGAGCUCCUAUCAGAUUAAUUCUUAAUGGAAACAACUAUAAAAGGUGUUCGAUAUCAUUUAAAAUAUCAGGAGAACAUGUCACCAGCGCAGGAUUAGAGGAACUGAUGCCCAAGACGGGAACACUAUGAGGUGGAGCUACAUUUACCUGGCUUUUCCCUUCACUGCCCUUGCAGCUUGACAGUACUGCUGGGAACAGAGUCCUGUAGAGAGCCGGGAGAGAGAGACUAUAUAACUUGCAUAUGUGGGAAAUUCAAAAGAAUUAAUAGAUGCAUUGUUAAAAUUAAUAAAAGAAUAUAAAAUCAGUGUUAGAAAGUCAAUCUUAUUUUUACAUACAACAACAACAAAAAAUAAACAAUGGGAUUUUUAAAAACCAGGCUGGCUUCAUAUCCUAUUAUGAUAUAUGGUAUUAGAAGAUAUGAGAACAUUGUCUAAUAAGUUUUGAGGGGAGAUGUUUAUGACCUGGUGAAUUUUCCAUGAGAUAAUAGAAAAACAGAUGUGCCAGGUGGUGCUUGUUUGAAUGGUGAAAUGUAGGAGCGCUUCUUGAUGGUGGCUAUUUUCCAUUAAAAGUUACUUGAUCCUCUACCUCAGCCACCCACAGAAUGAAUCAAGAUAAAGAACCCAUUGUUAGCCAGGCGAUUCUGAAGGCUAAUACAGAAGAAUUUCCAGUCAGAGGUCAGCCUAAGCAACUUAGCAAGACUCUGUCUCAAAUGAAAAAGGGCUGGACUGAAUGAUGAAGUUGAUCAAAUUAUGUUAGGGCAUGUACGGAUAUAUCACAAUGAAUUCCACUGUGUUGCAUAAUGCACCAAUUUAAAAUAUUUUGGAAAUUGCCAGAGAGUUAGAAAAAAAGUUAAAAAGGGCUAGACGUGUAGUUCAGUAGUAGAACGCUUCUGUGUUCAAUUUCCAUAAAUGCAAAACAAAAUAAAAAUAAAAAAUAAAAAACACUUCAUGAAUGAGGAAGACAUAGUUUGAAAAGAAUGGUGGCAGUUAACAUUGGAUUAUUUGAAAAUGAACAAUCUGUAAGAUACUUUUAAAUGCAUAACAUACUUUCUAGGCAAGUAUGCAAAAUACAACUUUUAGGGUAACAAAUGGAUCAGAAUAGGUCACAGAAUUGGAGUGUAGAAGAUAAUUUUCUUAAAUAUGACAGUGUCCCAAUGGUCACUGGAGAAUUAUGGACCUAAAUGUUUAUUUAGCUUUUUAUCAAAGUGUAAUAUUCAUACAUAACUAGGCCCAUAUAGUAAUUAUACAGUUUAUCAAAUGUUCACAAAGUGAGCAUAUCCUUGCAACUAUAAUAUAGAUCAGGCAAUAACAUGCCAGAAUCUGAAGAAGUUAGUAUUUUUUAAUUAAAAAUAAUAGCUAGUAGAACAAAAUUAAAAGACAGAAACCUCCCUGGUCCCAAAAAUAAUAAUAAUAGUGUAUUAAAAAGUCACAGUUCUUCUAAGUGAACAGAAGAGGGUGCUCUUGAGCCGUGAAAUGCAGUAAGUCUUCUAGAUCUUCAUUCUUGCCAGUUAUUGCUGGUCUAGGAGAAAUAGAACUUUGUCAAAUAAAUGGGAUGUGGCAGACAACAUCCAGAGUCAGUAGGAAAAGAGAAACAAAAGUAAAAACAUUUCAGCUGGCAAAAAUCCCCCCAACUGAUAAAAAAUUCUGAAGCAGAAAGAAAUGGAUGAAUAUUACCAGCCUGACUUAAACUUGUGAGAUAUGAAAAAACACAUCUAGAAUCACAAAUUCAAAGAUCCAGAGGAGAAAUAGAUUUUAAAACAGCAAACAAAAACCCAAGGGAAAUAUAAAAUGAGAAUCUUGCAGUAAUGUCGGCAGAACUUCUUUGGAACCCUCUUUUUGCAAAUGGCAACCUUAAAUUCCACGCAAAAUAUUUUUUAAGACUACGUCAAAAAAAAAAAACUACUUGAAGGCAUUAGAGGAUAAA